rnacentral:sRNA from 1 species
UGUGAGGAUAAUCUGGCUGAGACAGCUGCCACCCCACUGAUUGCCAACUGUGAUUCAGCUGACCUGGCUGCCUAGGUGACUCUACCUGUCACCUUCCUCCCUCACUGC